GAUGAACGCUAGCGGAAGGCCUAAUACAUGCAAGGCGAGGGCACAGCAAUGUGACCGUCGAACGGGUGCGUAACGCGUAUGCAACCUACCUACUACUGGGGAAUAGCCCAUGGAAACGUGGAUUAAUACCGCAUAAUACAGGGGGCCGGCAUCGGUCUAUUUGUUAAAGAUUUAUUGGUAGUAGAUGGGCAUGCGUCUGAUUAGUUAGUUGGCGAGGUAACGGCUCACCAAGACGAUGACCAGUAGGGGAGCUGAGAGGUUGAUCCCCCACAUGGGCACUGAGAUACGGGUCCA
rnacentral:rRNA from 1 species